rnacentral:rRNA from 1 species
UACGUAGGGGCCUAGCGUUGUCCGGAUUUAUUGGGCGUAAAGAGCUCGUAGGCGGUUUGGUGAGUCGGGUGUGAAAUCUCCACGCUCAACGUGGAGGGGCCACUCGAUACUGCCAUGACUCGAGUCCGGUAGAGGAGUGUGGAAUUCCUGGUGUAGCGGUGAAAUGCGCAGAUAUCAGGAGGAACACCAAUUGCGAAGGCAGCUCGCUGGGACGUUACUGACGCUGGAGACGCGAAAGCGUGGGGAGCAAACAGG